UUUAUUGAAUCUAUUCUUAUUGCUUUUAUAUUAAUAGNGUUGGNUUUCCAACUANGACGAUAAACGAAUUUCGUAAUAAACAUUGCGGACGUGGGGGCAGUACCCACCACCUCCACCAUUAAUACAACUUAUGGGGGUGAAAUAGANUCGACGAGUGUCUAAANGCUGUUCUUUCGUUCGGUAUUGUUCCGCCGUAAUGGGCUAUUUUAUAAUUGCAAAUAAUAAAUUUGCUCUUGCAGCUUAAUUAGUUUUCUAAUUAAGUUACGGGGUCAGGGGCACCUGGCAACAGAACGCCCCCUAA
rnacentral:tmRNA from 1 species